rnacentral:rRNA from 1 species
CAAUAGCGUAUAUUAAAGUUGUUGCAGUUAAAAAGCUCGUAGUUGGAUUUCUGGUGGGAGCGAUCGGUCUGGCGCUUAGCGCGAGUACUUACAUCGUCUCCGGCCAUCCUUGGGGAGAGUCUGUCUGGCAUUAGGUUGUCGGGCAGAGGAUCCUCAUCGUUUACUGUGAAAAAAUUAGAGUGUUCAAAGCAGGCUUAUGCCGUUGAAUAUAUUAGCAUGGAAUAAUAAGAUAGGACUUUGGUACUAUUUUGUUGGUUUGCGCACCAAAGUAAUGAUUAAUAGGGACAGUUGGGGGUAUUCGUAUUCCGUUGUCAGAGGUGAAAUUCUUGGAUUUACGGAAGACGAACUACUGCGAAAGCGUUUACCAAGGAUGUUUUCAUUAA